rnacentral:rRNA from 1 species
AGAGUUUGAUCCUGGCUCAGGAUGAACGCUAGCUACAGGCUUAACACAUGCAAGUCGAGGGGCAGCAUGAACUUAGCUUGCUAAGUUUGAUGGCGACCGGCGCACGGGUGAGUAACACGUAUCCAACCUGCCGAUGACUCGGGGAUAGCCUUUCGAAAGAAAGAUUAAUACCCGAUGGCAUAGUUCUUCCGCAUGGUAGAACUAUUAAAGAAUUUCGGUCAUCGAUGGGGAUGCGUUCCAUUAGGUUGUUGGCGGGGUAACGGCCCACCAAGCCUUCGAUGGAUAGGGGUUCUGAGAGGAAGGUCCCCCACAUUGGAACUGAGACACGGUCCAAACUCCUACGGGAGGCAGCAGUGAGGAAUAUUGGUCAAUGGACGAGAGUCUGAACCAGCCAAGUAGCGUGAAGGAUGACUGCCCUAUGGGUUGUAAACUUCUUUUAUACGGGAAUAAAGUGAGGCACGUGUGCCUUUUUGUAUGUACCGUAUGAAUAAGGAUCGGCUAACUCCGUGCCAGCAGCCGCGGUAAUACGGAGGAUCCGAGCGUUAUCCGGAUUUAUUGGGUUUAAAGGGAGCGUAGGCGGACGCUUAAGUCAGUUGUGAAAGUUUGCGGCUCAACCGUAAAAUUGCAGUUGAUACUGGGUGUCUUGAGUACAGUAGAGGCAGGCGGAAUUCGUGGUGUAGCGGUGAAAUGCUUAGAUAUCACGAAGAACUCCGAUUGCGAAGGCAGCCUGCUGGACUGUAACUGACGCUGAUGCUCGAAAGUGUGGGUAUCAAACAGGAUUAGAUACCCUGGUAGUCCACACAGUAAACGAUGAAUACUCGCUGUUUGCGAUAUACAGUAAGCGGCCAAGCGAAAGCGUUAAGUAUUCCACCUGGGGAGUACGCCGGCAACGGUGAAAC